rnacentral:rRNA from 1 species
GAAAAGCCCCCGGCUCAACCGGGGAGGGUCAUUCGGAAACUGGGGAACUUGAGUGCAGAAGAAGGAGAGUGGAAUUCCACGUGUAGCGGUGAAAUGCGUAGAGAUGUGGAGGAACACCAGUGGCGAAGGCGACUCUCUGGUCUGUAACUGACGCUGAGGAGCGAAAGCGUGGGGAGCGAACAGGAUUAGAUACCCUGGUAGUCCACGCCGUAAACGAUGAGUGCUAAGUGUUAGGGGGUUUCCGCCCCUUAGUGCUGCAGCUAACGCAUUAAGCACUCCGCCUGGGGAGUACGGUCGCAAGACUGAAACUCAAAGGAAUUGACGGGGGCCCGCACAAGCGGUGGAGCAUGUGGUUUAAUUCGAAGCAACGCGAAGAACCUUACCAGGUCUUGACAUCCUCUGACAAUCCUAGAGAUAGGACGUCCCCUUCGGGGGCAGAGUGACAGGUGGUGCAUGGUUGUCGUCAGCUCGUGUCGUGAGAUGUUGGGUUAAGUCCCGCAACGAGCGCAACCCUUGAUCUUAGUUGCCAGCAUUCAGUUGGGCACUCUAAGGUGACUGCCGGUGACAAACCGGAGGAAGGUGGGGAUGACGUCAAAUCAUCAUGCCCCUUAUG